rnacentral:rRNA from 1 species
AGUGAACGCUGGCGGUAGGCCUAACACAUGCAAGUCGAACGGCAGCACAGUAAAAGCUUGCUCUUACGGGUGGCGAGUGGCGGACGGGUGAGGAAUACAUCGGAAUCUACUUUUUCGUGGGGGAUAACGUAGGGAAACUUACGCUAAUACCGCAUACGACCUUCGGGUGAAAGCAGGGGAUCUUCGGACCUUGCGCGAUUGAAUGAGCCGAUGUCGGAUUAGCUAGUUGGCGGGGUAAAGGCCCACCAAGGCGACGAUCCGUAGCUGGUCUGAGAGGAUGAUCAGCCACACUGGAACUGAGACACGGUCCAGACUCCUACGGGAGGCAGCAGUGGGGAAUAUUGGACAAUGGGCGCAAGCCUGAUCCAGCCAUACCGCGUGGGUGAAGAAGGCCUUCGGGUUGUAAAGCCCUUUUGUUGGGAAAGAAAAGCAGCAGGUUAAUACCCCGCUGUUCUGACGGUACCCAAAGAAUAAGCACCGGCUAACUUCGUG